GGAUGUGAGGGCAGUUUGGCUGUGACUUCUGUCACCCCAUUGAUCAUCAGGGUUGAUUCAGCUGAUCUGGCUGGCUAGGCAGGUGUCCCCUUCCUCCCUCACCACUUCCUGAAGCUGUUUGCUUGGUCGAAUUUAUCUUGGGAUGACCAUCCCAGAUAAAUGAGGACCCAUCUUUGGUCAAGGGUAGUCAAGUAGCUGCACUCCCCUGCUAGAACCUCCAAACAAGCUCUCCAAUAUUCUCUGCCACUUGCAGCUGUGGUAGUGCCCUUAAGAAUGUACCAUGUGUU
rnacentral:snRNA from 1 species